rnacentral:rRNA from 1 species
AACGAACGCUGGCGGCAUGCCUAACACAUGCAAGUCGAACGAGAUCUUCGGGUCUAGUGGCGCACGGGUGCGUAACGCGUGGGAAUCUGCCCUUUGGUUCGGAAUAACAGUUGGAAACGACUGCUAAUACCGGAUGAUGACGAAAGUCCAAAGAUUUAUCGCCAGAGGAUGAGCCCGCGUAGGAUUAGCUAGUUGGUGUGGUAAAGGCGCACCAAGGCGACGAUCCUUAGCUGGUCUGAGAGGAUGAUCAGCCACACUGGGACUGAGACACGGCCCAGACUCCUACGGGAGGCAGCAGUGGGGAAUAUUGGACGAUGGGCGAAAGCCUGACCCAGCAAUGCCGCGUGAGUGAUGAAGGCCUUAGGGUUGUAAAGCUCUUUUACCCGGGAUGAUAAUGACAGUACCGGGAGAAUAAGCUCCGGCUAACUCCGUGCCAGCAGCCGCAGUAA